UUUCGCGAUAUACCUGACCUGCUAUAUUACUACAUAAUACUAUAAUACAUUCGGCAAUGCCAAAAGGGCGCGGACAAACGCUUUAAAUGCCAAAUACAACGGCCUUAAAUGUCAAACGGCCCGGCCGCGCCGUCAUAAUGUUAUCGCGAAAUUACAUCUACUUACCUAUAUACUGCAAUAAAAAAACGUUUUGUAAUAUUGUUUAUUUUUUCGCACGUUUUGGAUAUGAUAGACACGAACGUGUUGUACGUACGAUUUUUAUCUUGUCAUCGCACCGACACACCGAACGACGUGAGUGUACGGGCGCUGGAUGGUACGAAAUCCAUCGUUUGAUAGCGAAUUUUUUUUUUUUAUGGCGCUAUUGUUGCGAACUAUCGCAUCGCGUAUCGGGUUUACAUCGAAUGUUCACGCGGUAUAAUAUAUUAUUGCGCGUGUAUAUUGAAAUCACUACCCCGAAUUUAAAUGCCUUAGCAAACAUAAAAGAAAGGUUGAUAGGUAUUGUUGCGAUGGGCGUGCCACUGUUGUUUUAGGAGCGAAGUUGAACGGGAGGAUAUGCGAAGAGCGAUUUAAUUUAUUUAUAUGCUAACGAAAAACGAUUUUGAAUAUAGUUUAUUGGUCGUAUUUUUUCCUUUGUCGGCAGCCCAAAAGUCAACAAAAAGUUACAGAAAAUUACAGGGGGAAUAAUUAGAAAAUGACCACCUCAAUACAUCAAUCAGAUCGAAAAUUCUGUAAAAAUAAAGUUCCUAUAAAGAUUUUGUUUGGAGCAAAAAUAUAUUAGUAAUGGUAGAUAAUAGUAAAGCUUCGCUCGACAUAUCCAAAACGAACAGAAAACGAUCUGCGAAAUAGACAAAACGUCCUCGGAAAAAGAAAAACAAGAAAUACAAAAUAUUCACUUUUGAACAUUUUCGUGUGUAUGCGUGCUGUUCAGCAAACGCGGGAAGCGAAAUAUUAUUCGUUAUUUAUAUACGCAAAAAAUACACAUCAUUAUAAUACCAAAUACUCACACGUUUCGAUAAUCACAGUCCGUAUCCGUUUGUACGUAAUAAAAACCUAUCAUCGCGUUUAGUAUCAAUCGCUACGCCGUGAAAUCUUAAACAUAACGCAGAAAAUCGCCGACGGAGUCUGUUUUAUAACAGAAAUUCAACUGUUUGUACGCGUCAGUGAAUGACUUUGUUGUAAUAAUGUCUAUAUACAGUCGUUGCGAUAUUAAACAUAAUAAUAUUG